UUAUAUAUUUUUUGAUUAACUUAAUUUUUAAAUAAUAUUUUAUUUUUAUUGUAGUGUUUUCCUGUAAAGGUUAAGUUUUCAUUAUUUGUUUACCUUUUGUAUAAGGGGUUUUAGAUUUUUAAUUUGCUUAAAUAUUUCUAGAAACUUUAGGAUCUUGGGGGGUAUGUUUACUGUGGUAUUAAUUUCAAUACCUUUCAGGGAGUGAGAGGCUUUCGUCUAAGAUGAUACCUAGGAAUUGUUGUUGAAGAAGGGUAACCCUUCUUUUAGUUUUCUUUUAUUUUUAUUCUUAUGGGCUUUGCUUUAAUAGUAAGUUUUUGUGUAAUAACUUAUAUUAUUUUUUAGAAAACUAUUUUUAGGUGUUAUUAAUUUUAUUAAUUAAAAUAUGAGUAGGGGAACUUUAUAGUUUGUGUUUUUUUUAUAAUUUGUUAAGUUAAAUUCUUUAAAUUUACUCUUUACUUUUUAAAAUGUUUACUAAAAUCUUAGCUAAAUUAUUUUUAGUUAUUUCUGCCCAAUGCUUUAAGUUAAUGGCUGUGGUUUCCACACUAAGGUAGCGAAAUCAUUAGUUACUUUAUUGGUAACUUGUAUGAAUGGAAAAUUUAAAAAGUUAUUAAGGUUUGGUUUGAAUUUAUAAUUCUGUUGAAAAUAACAGAUUAUCUCUUAAGACAAAAAGACCCUAGAAUUUUUAUAACUAAGGGGUUAUUUGGUUGGGGCAACAUUGUGGUUUAAAUACAUAAAUAUAUCCAUUCUUUGAACUUUUACUAAAGAUAGUUGGUGAAAAUACUCUAGGGAUAACAGCCUAAUAACUUUUUUGAGAACUUAUUAAUAAAGUUGUUUGGGACCUCGAUGUUGGAUUAAGGCAACUUUUUGGUGAAGAAGCUAAAUAAGUUAGACUGUUCGUCUAUUAAAUCCUUACAUGAUCUGAGUUAAAGUCGGCGUGAGCCAGACUGGAUUUUAUCUAAGAGUUUAAUGAACCACAUUUCAGUACGAAAGGACCUUUUGUGGGGGAAAUUCUCUUUUAAUAAUACUAUAUUU
rnacentral:rRNA from 1 species